rnacentral:misc_RNA from 1 species
AACGCACCUUGCGCUCGUUGGUAUUCCGACGAGCAUGCCUGUUUGAGUGUCAUUAAAUUCUCAACCUCAUCGCUUUUGUGAUGAUGGCUUGGAUGUGGAGGUUUUCUGCAGGCCGAAAGGUCUGCUCCUCUCAAAUGAAUUAGUGGGUGCCCCGUGCAAACCUAUCUAUUGGUGUGAUAAUUAUCUACGCCGUGGAUCUUAGGAUUGCUGUAAAAAGGUGUUUGCCCUGCUUCUAACUGUCUUCGGACAACUUGAACCAUUUGACCUCAAAUCAGGUAGGACUACCCGCUGAACUUAA